CGGUAAUACGUAGGGGGCAAGCGUUAUCCGGAAUCACUGGGCGUAAAGGGUGCGUAGGCGGGCUACCAAGCUAGGGGUUAAAGGCAUAGGCUCAACCAAUGUAAGCCUUUGGAACUGGUAGUCUUGAGUGCAGGAGAGGUAAGUGGAAUUCCUAGUGUAGAGGUAAAAUUCGUAGAGAUUAGGAGGAACACCGGUGGCGAAGGCGACUUACUGGACUGUAACUGACGCUGAUGCACGAAGGCGUGGGGAGCAAACAGGAUUAGAUACCCUGGUAGUCCACGCAGUAAACGAUGAAUACUAGGUAUUGGAAGUAACAUUUCGGUGCCGCAGCUANCGCAUUAAGUAUUCCGCCUGGGGAGUACGCNCGCANGUGUGAAACUCAAAGGAAUUGACGGGGACCCNCCAAGUANCGGAACAUGUGGUUUAAUUCG
rnacentral:rRNA from 1 species